UCCCGAUUCGAAACCCAGGGGCUUAUGAUAUGGGCAUUCUGGAAAGGGAAAAACAACGCACCUCAAAACACUCAUAUCACAUCGCAACACUCCACAAACCCGACAUGACUGACAUGCCAAAUCAGACCGUCUCCUUCGUGCUUUGAAAGAAGACCUGAUGGCUGGUGCAGUGGCUUCUUGCACAACGGGGGCUCUUCUUCCCUCCUAAGGCGGCCUGUGAUGGAAGCAG